CCGGGGAUGCCGGGGGUGCCGGGGGUACCGGGGGUGCCGGGGAUACCGGGGGUACCGGGGGUACCGGGGGUACCGGGGAGAUGCUCGUGUAAAACACGUGGGGAGGGGAGGAGGACGGGAAAAGCGGGAUGGGGGAGUGGGCAGCAGCGUCUUUGUGCGAGGGGCGAGUGCCAGCCCCGCCCGCUCAAACCUUGCGCGCUGGGCAGCUGAGGGUUUAUGCCUCCCCCCGCGCCGUUUGUUUUUGGCCGUUUUUGUCACGGAAGCGAAGCUGCGAAAUCCUGGUAGAGCAGAAAUCCCGCCCUUGUUGCUCUCCCAGGGUGGGAAGGGCAGGAGAAACGCGGAGGAAAACGCUAAACUCUGGUUUCUUGCGUUAACCACGGUCGGAGAGCGAUUCAACUUCCCACAGCACCCAACGCAGGAAAAAGGGGGAAAAGGGGCUUGUGCUCCCUAAAAUCCCAUCGCUUGAGGGAGCAUCCCACGCUGGGGUUGUGCUGCCUGGCUGGGAUGCAGGGUUAGGAAAUGGGCUACCAGGAGCAUCAGCACAACAGGACAGGCAUGGAUACAAAAUGCACCCAGAGAUGGUGGCCACCAAGACCACCACAGUGACCAUCUCCCGUCGGAACACCCUUUGGAAAAGCAGCUGAGUGAGAAAUAUCGGAGCAGAUGGGUCCGGGCUACUUGAGCCGCUGCUCUUUCCCACCGCCUCCUUGUUUUUUCCUGGGUUUAAUCGAGAUCUGAUGAUUAAAUUUCCUCUUCCUGGUGCUGGCUCCUCCUGCACCCAGCACGGCAGAAAGAGACAGAGUUUUGGCUGGGCUGGGACAAAAGUGGGGUGGCUGUGAGUCCUUGCAUGGCCAGACCCCAUCCCAGAGGUCAGCUGGGACUUCCCAGCCUCAUCCCAGCUUUUAUCUGGCUCCCCAAAAUGAGCCACACAGAACCACUUCAAAGCACCCUCGGGAGCUCUUUUCUGCGGCAUUAUUUUGGGAGCUUUGGGGUUUCUCCAAGGGGAGCUCCCUGCAGCCGGAUAACCCGGUUCUCUACCUGCAACAGGGCACUUCUAUUCUGUUUUGCCAGUGGAAAACACUGGGAUGGCACCUGGGAUGCAGCUGGGCUGGGUGCUGCCCCCAUCCGUGCCUUGGCACCAAGCCUGGGGUGCUCCUGUCCCUCUGCUCUCGCAAAACUCUCAUUAAAAUCAGUAUUUCAGUUGCUGGUUUAUUCCUCUUUUCCAUCUCUAGUGUGAUUCCCCAUCUCUUUGGAUACUGCAAAGUCCAAAUUUAUUCCUGUCUCGGGCUGGCACCUUGAGUGGCUUUGGGGACAAAAGUGUCUUUUCCAAUGGGCUGCAGGAGGUGUACGAGAAUCUGCAAUUCCAGCUCAGCAUCCUCAUGAUCCCUUGGGAAAAACCACAUCUCCAGGUGCCAAAACCAUGCUCGGACUCCAUGAAAAAUCAGCAAUUUGUGGGUGACAAUGAUUGCUUAUCCUGGGAGCAGCUUUCCCAGUGCUCAGGAUGUGCCUUGGGCACGUUGCUGGUGCCGAGCCUGGGAUGGAGGGAUGAGCAUUCCACCUGUACCCAUCCCUCUCUGUUCUCUGAGCUGUUUGCAAUGCCCAGGAGUUAGUCCAAGCAAGGAAGUGAUCCCGGGGAACAAUUAGCUCUGGACAAAAUGCUCUGAGGAGCCCAGGCUUUUCUGGAAUUCCAUCCUGCAGGAAUUCCAUGGUAAAGUUCAUUAUGUGGUAAAGCACAUUCCCCUCUGUGGUGUUUUUCAGGCUCAAAUCUGGGUGGAAAUUGUUGGUUCCUGACAGUUCUUAAGAACAGGGCUGGUCCAGGAUGACAUUCCCCUGGGUCUGGUGUGUGAGUGCAGCCAGCUUUUUCUGGGAAGAGAGCAGCUCCUUUCUGCUCUGAUGCUGCCUUGGGAAUUGUGGACAGGAGCUGGACAUCCGGACCUUGGUCUGAUGAGCCCGAGACUCAGCAACACCAAUCCCCUCCCCAGGGCUGAAGCAUGGAUCCUCCUCACCAGGAGGAUCAUGGAAUCCCAGAACCAUGGAAUGGUUUGGAGCCCAUCUCAUUCCAACUCCUGCAAGGGCAGGGAUGCUCUCACAGACACUGCAGCAGCUCAGCCAUGAACCCUGAGCUCCUGAAACUUUCCAGAAGGGAGAGUUCCCAAAGCUGAACCUGAUCAAAUCCACUUCCACGUGGAAUAUCAGAACACACCAAGCUCCAUGUUUGUUGCUACGGCCGCAGGGAGUGCUUUUCCAUGAUCCUGCAGUUUUGGUAGGGAUCCAGCGAACCCCUGAGCCCGGGUCAUGCUCUGGAUGGCUUUCUGGAGCUGGGGAAGCACCUGCUUGGCUGCCAAGAAUUCCAUUAUGCCGGGCUGGAAUUAAAGCAGAGCGGAUUUACUCCUCCUUCA